GCUCAACCGUGGAGGGUCAUUGGAAACUGGGAAACUUGAGUGCAGAAGAGGAAAGUGGAAUUCCAUGUGUAGCGGUGAAGUGCGCAGAGAUAUGGAGGAACACCAGUGGCGAAGGCGACUUUCUGUCUGUAACUGACGCUGAUGUGCGAAAGCGUGGGGAUCAAACAGGAUUAGAUACCCUGGUAGUCCACGCCGUAAACGAUGAGUGCUAAGUGUUAGGGGGUUUCCGCCCCUUAGUGCUGCAGCUAACGCAUUAAGCACUCCGCCUGGGGAGUACGACCGCAAGGUUGAAACUCGAAGGAAUUGACGGGGACCCGCACAAGCGGUGGAGCAUGUGGUUUAAUUCGAAGCAACGCGAAGAACCUUACCAAAUCUUGACAUCCUUUGACCACUCUAGAGAUAGAGCUUUCCCCUUCGGGGGACAAAGUGACAGGUAGUGCAUGGUUGUCGUCAGCUCGUGUCGUGAGAUGUUGGGUUAAGUCCCGCAACGAGCGCAACCCUUAAGCUUAGUUGCCAUCAUUAAGUUGGGCACUCUAGGUUGACUGCCGGUGACAAACCGGAGGAAGGUGGGGAUGACGUCAAAUCAUCAUGCCCCUUAUGAUUUGGGCUACACACGUGCUACAAUGGACAAUACAAAG
rnacentral:rRNA from 1 species